rnacentral:rRNA from 1 species
CAGCCGCCGCGGUAAUACGAAGGGUGCAAGCGUUAAUCGGAAUUACUGGGCGUAAAGGGCUCGCAGGCGGUUUCUUAAGUCUGAUGUGAAAGCCCCCGGCUCAACCGGGGAGGGUCAUUGGAAACUGGGAAACUUGAGUGCAGAAGAGGAGAGUGGAAUUCCACGUGUAGCGGUGAAAUGCGUAGAGAUGUGGAGGAACACCAGUGGCGAAGGCGACUCUCUGGUCUGUAACUGACGCUGAGGAGCGAAAGCGUGGGGAGCGAACAGGAUUAGAUACCCCGGUAGUCCCUGUCUCUUAACC